CAUGUUCCAUCAGAUCCCUCGUAUGGAUAGUUAGCCUCAGUUGUUAAGCCAUGAUUUUGUUCUGUGAAUUUAAAGGCAUCAUCCAUUAAGCCACCCUGGCAUCCUUGAUCCUCUCCCUUGGUGUCACAAUCAACAAGUUCUUGCUCAGAAAGUGAGAUCAAUUUUCCAGUUGAUAGUUGAGUAACUCCUUCCACAGCAGCCACAGCCGAAAACGCCCAGCAGGAUCCUGUAUAAAAUUUCACUGAUCAAUCAGCUAUAUAUAAAAAAUAAUUACUGAUGAUCCAGUUAUGAUCUGUUAGAAAGUUGGUACAUACCACACUGGCCUUGGUCCUUGAUGGCAGUAACUGCUCCUUUCUUUCUCCAGUCCAUGGAAGAUGGGACUGCAGAAACAUUUUCAUACUUGAAAGGACCUGCUUGUGCAGAACACAUAUGCCCCUUGAAUCUAUUCCUUGUGGUUUUGAAUUCUUCAUUAGUAAGAUCUGCAAACUUAUUGACGCCAAGCUUGUAUGUUUUCCCUGAAGCUUUGUUGAAGGAUUCUAUGCGCUCUACAUUUUUCUUGAAUAUCUGAUAACGCAUCUCCUUCUCACUAGCAUCCUUGUAUACGCGUCCAUAUCGAGUCAUCCAUUCCUCAUGCUUUUCAUACAUUAAUGCAUCUUGGAGAGUACGAGCUAUGGCUUGAGAAGCCAAAGCUCCCAAUAUGAAGAUCAAUGCCAAAGAAAUACCCCAGUUUUGGAUUGUGAAUGCCAUGGGGAAUGAUAUGCUAACUGCUAACUGCUAAGAAUGAUGGAAUCACAGGAUUGCUUCAGUAAUUUAUAUAGAGUUCUCCAAUAGCUUGCUGUUUUAGCAUUCUGGUAGGGAAACAUCUACGUGCCUGGAAAGACAUUCUGUUUUGGACCAGUAUUAUUGAUUUUUAUUUAUUUAUUUAUUAGUUCAUUAAUCAUUUAGAGGUGCAGUCUGUCUUCAGUGGCAGUUUUUGUCUUUUGUGUUUUAACAAACUAAAAUUCUCUCACCGUACCGUUUCCUGCAAAAGAUAUUUGAUUGAAAUGUGAAUAAUUGUUUGUCUUGUGGCGAGAUAAUGGCAUUGUUCUUCCAAAAUUAUUGGAAUGUGUCGUGUCAAGACAUUUCUUAGCAUAUAUAAGAAUGACAGAGAAUCUAAUCUAGAGGUUUUUGAUUCAGGUUGCAUAUUUUAAGAUGUAUAAAAAGAAGGCUGAAAAUGAUGUUAAGUCUUUGGAUUAACCCUUGAGAUUCAAUUCCUAAAAAAAAAAAUUGAGAUUUAAAAUUAGAUAACUAUAGUUAAAAGCUUGUUUCUUUGUCUGGUUCUGAUAUUUUGUGUUUGAUUAUAGGCAGUUUACAUGACAAGUUCCGAGUGAGUUUCUAAGGCCUCAUUGCAGGGUUUAUGUCUUGAUUUUUAGCAGUGUAUUUUCUUGAUAUUAAUCAAUCCAGAGAAAACAUCAUCAUUUUUAAAACUUUAUUUGUUUCACGAAAAUUAACUCUGAAUGUAGAAAUUUCCAGGAAAACUUAUUUUCCAUAUUUUUGUUGCAAGGUUAAAAAGCAAAGAAUAUCAAUGAGAUUUUCGUACAGAAAGUCCAUUCUUGAAAUUUCGAAGUACCUUAAACGCUAAAAAUUACGAAAUUUUUUUUCACAAAAUAAACAGAGCCUUAGGCUUUAUAUUAAUUCAUUGGAAGUCUUACAUAUAUUGAUAGGGUUGUGGUUUUUAACCAUUAUCUUCUAUCAUUCCAAACCUUAGAGGAACUGAAUUUCUAUUUUGCAUGCUAUAGAAAUAGAAACCUGUGAGAGUCAUCAGAAAACAAAAUGAAGGUUCUGACUGAAGUAGAUAUGUGAUAUUGCGUUAAGCACUUCAUCUCAUAUGUGAUAAAUCAUGAAAUUUUCUGGCAGAGACACAGUCGUCAUAUUUUCCAAUUUUUCAUCAUCGUCCUUAAUACAACUGUCCCUGUCAAUCUUAGAUUUUUUAGUGAUUAUCAGUUAUCUGACUCAUAUUGAUGACGUUGAGUCAUCUGGGCCCUGGGUCCACACCAGUGAAUAUUGUCCGCUUUGACUCAAGGCCGCACGGUUUUGCUUAAAACGCGUCCACUGGGGUUUCAAGGGCAGAGACUUAUAAGACCUUCUCCCUUUCAACCUCUUUCCGAUGUGGGAUACCCCUAUGAUCCACCUGCAUAGGGUUCUUUCUCCCCCAUACAGGCCUGAGCGUGCUCGCUCAGCGCACCGUACUCAUGAGGACCAGGUUAUUUUCCCACAGACGGCGCCAAUUGAUGAUCUGAGAUCCAGAGAAAUAGGGUUUUUACAAUGGGCUUUGUAAAAUUUAGAAAAAGCUUAAACAUAGAGAGGAGUAUUUCUCCUUUUAUAUGUUUCCUUUUGUCUGCUAGUGACGUGCCAACAGAACGAGUAUCAUUAGACCAUCUGUUCCUGCUAUGCUGAUACGGACGUACGAGGGAAUCAGAUCUCUGCCCCAUGCGUAACGGCCUCUGAUUCUCUCUGUGCGCGUGUAGUCGGGUCUACGAGGCGGAUGGAUGAAUCCUUCUUCGGGUUCCGGGCUGGGUCGGAGGAUAGGAAAAGCUGGAUCCAAAUGGGAUCGGCCCGAGGUGCAGUGAAGACCAGGCCGGCCUGGUGGAGAAAGCCAGAUGAAGCCCGGUUGUGAGGCUGAGCGGACUGAACCCAGUUCGCGUGGGUGGCUUGAGGAUUUCUAAGUAAUGGGCUAUUUUCAUGGGCCUGGCCCUAGACGGGGUGAGGUGAGCCCAGAGGUCAUCACAUAUGAUAAGAUAAUAUAAGAAAUUAAUUAUGCUGGAACAAAUAUAAAAGUUUGCAUAAGAUAUUCACAUCCAUAUUAUAAAUAAUUAGUUGCAGAUAUACAAGCUCGUUCUGAUACGACGACUGUACACCUACUACCUGAGAUUAUGAACAAUCCACAUAGUAAUUACUAAAAGAUGCUUCCACACUAUAUUAUUUAUAUAAUAUACAUAGUUGAUGGAGGCUGUUUGGUCCUGAACUUCAUGCUGUAGGGUAAGAUGCUUGCAUUGCAAUGCCACAGAGCCCUUCCUUUGCAUCAACAUCUUUCUGCAUCCUUAUGUAGCCUUCCUCGCCCCAUUGGGUGCCCCAUGAAUUCUUCACAAGCCAAUAAUUCAUUCCGUUGCUCUUUCCAUACCCAACAGCUGCAACACCAUGGUCUAGUUCAGUGCCACAAGAUCCUGUAAAGAUGCCACUUGAAUAGAACUGAAACUCAUAUCCCGAAGCAUCGAUGGCAACAGCAACUGGUUGUUUUGCAACAGCCUUCAUUAGUGCUGCCUCAUUGUUGGCUGGAACAUCUUCAUAACCUGUUAUCUUUGCUGCAUGGUUGGCUUCCUUCUGGGUGUUGCAUGUUCCAUCAGAUCCCUCGUAUGGAUAGUUAGCCUCAGUUGUUAAGCCAUGAUUUUGUUCUGUGAAUUUAAAGGCAUCAUCCAUUAAGCCACCCUGGCAUCCUUGAUCCUCUCCCUUGGUGUCACAAUCAACAAGUUCUUGCUCAGAAAGUGAGAUCAAUUUUCCAGUUGAUAGUUGAGUAACUCCUUCCACAGCAGCCACAGCCGAAAACGCCCAGCAGG
rnacentral:lncRNA from 1 species